UACGUAGGGUGCGAGCGUUAAUCGGAAUUACUGGGCGUAAAGCGUGCGCAGGCGGUGAUGUAAGACCGAUGUGAAAUCCCCGGGCUUAACCUGGGAAUGGCAUUUGGGACUGCAAGGCUUGAGUUUAGCAGAGGAGACUGGAAUUCCUGGUGUAGCAGUGAAAUGCGUAGAUAUCAGGAGGAAUACCGAUGGCGAAGGCAGGUCUCUGGGCUAGAACUGACGCUCAUGCACGAAAGCGUGGGGAGCAAACAGG
rnacentral:rRNA from 1 species